UGCGGUCAAGGUACUGGUUUGCUUGUGCUGGUGGUGGUGGCUAUUUAUUUCGCUGAGCGGCGAUGUGACCGAGCAAGCAUCAGCAUAGCAUUUAGAGGGGGAUUCUCAUCUGUUGGCAGUGCUUUAGCGCUGACACCGAGACAAUCUCCCUCCUUGCGUUUUCCAAGAAAAGUUGAAUCAAAAUGCCACCAGCCUUUCUAAGCACAGGCACUUAGAAAUUGAGUGAUUGAGUGAUUGGUUCCUGUUGGUCUCUUCAACUAACGCCCAUAAUUAGAGCCUCGGUAAUUUCCACCUGUUCUGCUGCUCUUUUCUAUUUUCUCCCAUCUGUCAGAAAAAUAGUCUCCUUGACGGAGAGA
rnacentral:sRNA from 2 species